rnacentral:lncRNA from 1 species
CCUAGUGAGAUGAACCCGGUACCUCAGAUGGAAAUGCAGAAAUCACCGUCUUCUGCGUCGCUCAUGCUGGGAGCUGUAGACCGGAGCCGUUCCUAUUCGGCCAUCUUGGCUCCUCCAGGCCCUUAAAAUUAUAUUUCUUUCAUACUAAAGUGUGGGAGGAAAUAUGGGUAUCACCUUCCUGGCGAUUUCCCAUGGCUGGGACCUCUUAGGAAGCAGUCUCCCUAGAGUAUUUCAAAAUAAUUAUGAAAUACCUACUUCCUGUCGAAAGGUGUCCCUCCUAUUUACUCUGAGUUUUCAUAAAUAAUUUACAAUACAAAAGUAUUUGAUGGUGUGACAUUUUAAAGACAAGGAACAGAAUGAUUCCUAAAGGCUCCUCCAUAUCUAUAACAUUUUAAAAAAUCAACCGAUUGCUGUUUGUAAUCUCUCCCUGAUUUUGCUGCAAAUGACUAAUCUUAGUAUUUUCCUUCUUGUUGCAGUUCUCACCUUGAUGAUUUUAUAAAUACCUGUGCAAUCAUUUAAGGAUGCUGUUAUAACUUGCUAUCACAGGAUUCAGGUCCAAGAACCCUCUCUUAGGAUCUGCACUGGGACCUACCCCUUUUUGGCAACAUGUUCUUGGCAACCACGAAGGGACUAUCCUGAGGAGAUCCCUGACCCAAAGGAAAUAGACUGCAGAACCAAUUGGCUGACUUUGGGGCGACCAUCUUGCCCAGACACCACAUGCUGAAACACUUGGUCGGAAGGAUCAUUCCACCCCACUUUGAGUGGAUCAAAGAUGACAAGGCCCAAGUAGGGGCAAGUUUGAGCCUGGCCAGUUCAAUAUUGGGUGCUAACUGGAGUGGCUAAUGUCUAUGUUUUGUCACACGUAUUUUGCUCUGCUCAGAAUGGAAGAAGAUGGUUUUCCUUUGUGUUGCGGUUUGGCCCCCAGGGCUGUGGUGUGGCGAGCCAAGUCACUAGGGCUGCCCAAGGAAAGGGAACACAGAAGCCUGGCGUGCUGGCAAAAGGGUGGGAAUUUCUUACCAGUCAGGCUUUGGGCCUCCCUGUGUGCAUAACUGGUUGAAUAAAUGGCAAAAAUAACUGUUCAUCCCCUCUGUAAAGUUUUGAUUAAUGGGAAAAGAAUUUGUGAGGUACGUCUGAAGCUGUAGCAAAUCUGGUGUACUUUGUGCUAUAAAUUUAUCUUCCUGUAUUGUACUGCCAUAAAGAGGAGUACCUUAGGAUAGAACAUGGGCUUAGGACCCCAUAAGCCCACUGUUAAAGCCAGCCUGGCAAGUUGGUCAGUAACAAACUUUGCUGCAGGUCCCUGAAACAAACAAGCAAAAACAACUGAAUGAAGUUUCCUUCUCGUCUUGUUUUAUGUCCUUGGAAGCUUGAGCUUGUGACCAUAUGGCAGUACUUUCUUUUAGUCUCUGCUUAUCCAGAGGACAGGAAUUUAGGGGUUCAUGUUGUAGUUAGCCCCAAAAAUUACCUCAAGCAGUUAAAAGCCUUUGCAAGCUCAAAAUUGGCUGCUCUAGACUCCCUCUGGGAAGAGCAAUGGAAAUUGCCCAGUGCUGUGGCUUAGUAGCUAAGGCUUUGUCUUUUCACAAUGACGGCCUGGGUUCAGGGUUCAAUUCCCAGCUUAGGGAAUGGGUCCUUUCUGGCUUAAUAUCUGUGUGACCUUUACCAUUUGUUGAUUCUCUUCUCCUCCAUGAACUACUUCUGGCUUCAUUUCUUGAAUCUUCCUUUCUCUGAGCUACCUGUGGAGAUUCUAAAUCUUGUAAAAACUGCUAACCACCUCUUUGAAAAGAACUUGUCCAUUCAUGGUCAAAUCAUAACCUUAGUUAAGCCUUAUUGGUUUCACCUGUGAGUUUAUUUUUGGUAAAGUUUAAAAGCCAGAAAUAUUGGCUGUUUUGCCCAGCUAAAGUAGGGUGUAUUUGUCUGGUUUUACACUGAUAUAAAGAACUUCCCUGAGACUGGGUAAUUUAUAAAGGAAAGAGCUUUAAUUGACUCACAGUUUGGCAUGGCUUCAGAGGCCUCAGGAAACUUACAAUCAUGGCAGAAGGCAAAAGGGAAGCAAGGAACCUUCUUCACAUGGCAGCAGGAGAGAAUGCAGGAGGAACUGCCAAACACUUUUAAAGCAUCAGAUCUUGUGAGAACUUACCGUCAUGAGAACAGCAUGAUCCAAUCACCCACCACUAGGUCCCUCACUCAACACAUGGGGAUUAAAAUUCAAGAUGAGAAUUGGGUGGCAACAUAGAGCCAAAACAUCUCAUAGGAUAGUAAUAAGAGAUUUAAAAGGAUUUUAUUUUUUAAGGAGUACUACGGUUAAAAGUCAGCUCAAUUAAAAGCAGAUAUUCAAGCUAUAGGUAUAUUUUAAAGGCCUUUAUGUUUUAUUCUCUUCUUGGAUUGUGUUUUUCUGGAAAAAAGGUUUUUUUCUUUUCUUCUCAGUAGACUUAAUUGUUUUUCUCCAUUUUGUCUUCUUGCUACUCUUGAUGCACACAUGAG